rnacentral:snRNA from 1 species
GUGCUCACUUCAGCAGAACAUAUCCUAAAAUUAGAAUGAUAUAAAGAAGUUUAGCAUGGCCCUUGCACAAGGAUGACACACAAAUUAAUGAAAUGUUCCAUAUUUUU